UACGAAGGGGGCUAGCGUUGCUCGGAAUCACUGGGCGUAAAGGGCGCGUAGGCGGCCGAUCAAGUCAGGGGUGAAAGCCUGUGGCUCAACCACAGAAUUGCCUUUGAUACUGUUUGGCUAGAGACCGGAAGAGGUUAGUGGAACUGCGAGUGUAGAGGUGAAAUUCGUAGAUAUUCGCAAGAACACCAGUGGCGAAGGCGGCUCACUGGCCCGGUACUGACGCUGAGGUGCGAAAGCGUGGGGAGCAAACAGG
rnacentral:rRNA from 1 species